GUUUAGGAUUUGCUCUGCCCCCUGAGAAGAGAAGGUUCUUUUUAGGGAGGUUUAGGAUUUGCUCUGCUCCAUGAGAAGAGAUUCUUUUUAGAGAGGUUUAGGAUUUGCUCUGCUCCCUAAGAGAAGGUUCUUCUUUUUAGAGAAGUUUAGGAUUUGCUCUGCUCCCUAAGAAGAG